rnacentral:rRNA from 1 species
UACGUAGGUGGCAAGCGUUAUCCGGAAUUAUUGGGCGUAAAGCGCGCGUAGGCGGUUUUUUAAGUCUGAUGUGAAAGCCCACGGCUCAACCGUGGAGGGUCAUUGGAAACUGGAAAAACUUGAGUGCAGAAGAGGAAAGUGGAAUUCCAUGUGUAGCGGUGAAAUGCGCAGAGAUAUGGAGGAACACCAGUGGCGAAGGCGACUUUCUGGUCUGUAACUGACGCUGAUGUGCGAAAGCGUGGGGGAUCAAACAGG